rnacentral:rRNA from 1 species
UGGGGAAUAUUGGGCAAUGGGCGCAAGCCUGACCCAGCAACGCCGCGUGAAGGAAGAAGGCUUUCGGGUUGUAAACUUCUUUUCUCAGGGACGAAGCAAGUGACGGUACCUGAGGAAUAAGCCACGGCUAACUACGUGCCAGCAGCCGCGGUAAUACGUAGGUGGCAAGCGUUAUCCGGAUUUACUGGGUGUAAAGGGCGUGUAGGCAGGAUCGCAAGUCAGAUGUGAAAACUGGAGGCUCAACUCCAGCCUGCAUUUGAAACUGUGGUUCUUGAGUACUGGAGAGGCAGACGGAAUUCCUAGUGUAGCGGUGAAAUGCGUAGAUAUUAGGAGGAACACCAGUGGCGAAGGCGGUCUGCUGGACAGCAACUGACGCUGAGGCGCGAAAGCGUGGGGAGCAAACAGGAUUAGAUACCC